GACGAAGGAUGCAAGCGUUAUCCGGAUUCAUUGGGUUUAAAGGGAGCGUAGGUGGAUUGAUAAGUCAGUGGUGAAAUCUCCGAGCUUAACUUGGAAAUUGCCAUUGAUACUGUUGGUCUUGAGUAUAGUUGCCGUUGGCGGAAUAUGACAUGUAGUGGUGAAAUACAUAGAGAUGUCAUAGAACACCGAUUGCGAAGGCAGCUGACGAAACUAUAACUGACACUGAGGCUCGAAAGUGUGGGGAUCAAACAGG
rnacentral:rRNA from 1 species